CCUCCGUCCCAAAAUUAUUGUCUUAGCUUUGUCUAGAAAUGAAUGUAUCUAAAUAAUAAAACUUGACUAGAUACAUUCGUAUCUAAACAAAUCUAAGACAANNNUUUUGGGACGGAGGGAGUAUGUG
rfam:Hordeum vulgare subsp. vulgare, WGS project CAJW01000000 data, contig: morex_contig_38891